rnacentral:rRNA from 1 species
GAUCUUGGCUAUUUCAAAAAGCUAAGCAAUAUUGGACUUGGUUAGUAUUUGGAUGGGAGACCACCAGGAAAUACAAGGGCUGUGAGCU